CAUCUACUCCCUCCGUCCGAAAAUACUUAUCAUCAAAAUGAAUAAAAAGAGAUUAUUUAGAACUAAAAUACAUCUAGAUACAUCCCCAUUUAUCCCUUUUGAUGACAAGUAUUUCCGGACGGAGGGAGUAUUAC
rfam:Triticum aestivum genome assembly, contig: Triticum_aestivum_CS42_TGACv1_scaffold_033547_1BL